rnacentral:rRNA from 1 species
AAUGAACGCUGGCGGCAGGCCUAAAACAUGCAAGUCGAACGGUAACAGGUACUUCGGUACGCUGACGAGUGGCGCACGGGUGAGUAACAUGUGGGAAUAUACUUCUUAGUAAGGAACAACAGUUGGAAACGACUGCUAAUACCUUAUGGUCCCUCCGGGGUAAAGAUUUAUCGCUAAGAAAUUAGCCCACACUGGAUUAGCUAGUUGGUAAGGUAAUGGCUUACCAAGGCAACGAUCUAUAGCUGGUUUGAGAGGAUGAUCAGCCACACUGGAACUGAGACACGGUCCAGACUCCUACGGGAGGCAGCAGUUAGGAAUAUUGGACAAUGGGGGCAACCCUGAUCCAGCCAUGCCGCGUGUGUGAUGACGGCCUUCGGGUUGUAAAGCACUUUAGCCGACGAAUAUAAUGACUGUAGUCGGAGAAUAAGCCCCGGCUAACUUCGUGCCAGCAGCCGCGGUAAUACGAAGGGGGCGAGCGUUAUUCGGAAUCACUGGGCGUAAAGCGUACGUAGGCGGUUUGACAAGUUAGAAGUGAAAGCCCAGGGCUCAACCUUGGAAUUGCUUUUAAAACUGUCAGACUAGAAUUUGGUAGAGGGCAGUGGAAUUAUCAGUGUAGCAGUGAAAUGCGUAGAUAUUGAUAGGAACACCAGUGGCGUAGGCGACUGUCUGGACCAACAUUGACGCUGAGGUACGAAAGCGUGGGGAGCAAACAGGAUUAGAUACCCUGGUAGUCCACGCCGUAAACGAUGUGUGCUUGUCGUUGGGAUUUAUAAAUCUCGGUGACGGAGUUAACGCGUUAAGCACACCGC